GCUAAAUAAGAGCGUAUGGGGAAUGCCUAGGCUCUCAGAGGCGAUGAAGGACGUGAUAAGCUGCGAAAAGCUGCGGGGAUUGGCACAUACAAACUGAUCCGUAGAUAUCCGAAUGGGGCAACCCAGCAUGUUGAAGACAUGUUACACCGAAAGGUGAGCAAACCCGGAGAACUGAAACAUCUAAGUACCCGGAGGAAAGGAAAUCAAUAGAUACUCCCCUAGUAGCGGCGAGCGAACGGGGA
rnacentral:rRNA from 14 species